rnacentral:snoRNA from 1 species
UCCCAAUAUUCUUUGUCAGGACACUUUCUCGCCAAUUCUUUGGUGCCUUUCGUGGGAGACGUCUGUUACAAUAUUGGGAGAUCAAACAUCCGAGCUUGAUGUCUCGUUGGUCCUUGGACCAUCGAGGCUGAUUUGGUCCCGUCUUGGGGCCGGUCAUUAGCAAGGGCCGUGUUUCAUUUUUGAGUUGAACUCCAUCUCUGUCCACUGGGACGGCAUUGUGAUGGUUUUCUUAGUAAUGAUUCAUACAUAC